UUCAGGAUGGCCGAGUGGUUAUGGCAUCGGACUUCUGAUCCGAUUGACUGUUGUGUCUGCAGGUUCGAUUCCUGCUCCUAAACAGAAG
rnacentral:tRNA from 1 species